rnacentral:rRNA from 1 species
UACAGAGGUGCCAAGCGUUAGGCGGAAUCACUGGGCUUAAAGCGUGUGUAGGCGGGUCGUUAAGUGCCUUGUGAAAUCCCACCGCUCACCGGUGGAACUGCUUGGCAUACUGGCGGUCUUGAGCCACUUAGGGGCAACCGGAACAAACGGUGGAGCGGUGAAGUGCGUAGAUAUCGUUUGGAACGCCAAUGGUGAAAACAGGUUGCUGGGAGUGUGCUGACGCUGAGACACGAAAGCCAGGGGAGCAAACGGG